rnacentral:rRNA from 1 species
AAUGAACGCUGGCGGCAGGCUUAACACAUGCAAGUCGAGCGGAGAUGAGGUGCUUGCACCUUAUCUUAGCGGCGGACGGGUGAGUAAUGCUUAGGAAUCUGCCUAUUAGUGGGGGACAACAUUCCGAAAGGAAUGCUAAUACCGCAUACGUCCUACGGGAGAAAGCAGGGGAUCUUCGGGCCUCGCGCUAAUAGAUGAGCCUAAGUCGGAUUAGCUAGUUGGUGGGGUAAAGGCCUACCAAGGCGACGAUCUGUAGCGGGUCUGAGAGGAUGAUCCGCCACACUGGGACUGAGACACGGCCCAGACUCCUACGGGAGGCAGCAGUGGGGAAUAUUGGACAAUGGGGGGAACCCUGAUCCAGCCAUGCCGCGUGUGUGAAGAAGGCCUUAUGGUUGUAAAGCACUUUAAGCGAGGAGGAGGCUACUGAGACUAAUACUCUUGGAUAGUGGACGUUACUCGCAGAAUAAGCACCGGCUAACUCUGUGCCAGCAGCCGCGGUAACAC